UGCCAGACUCCUACGGGAGGCAGCAGUGGGGAAUAUUGGGCAAUGGGCGCAAGCCUGACCCAGCAACGCCGCGUGAAGGAAGAAGGCUUUCGGGUUGUAAACUUCUUUUAUCAGGGACGAAGCAAGUGACGGUACCUGAUGAAUAGGCCACGGCUAACUACGUGCCAGCAGCCGCGGUAAUACGUAGGUGGCGAGCGUUAUCCGGAUUUACUGGGUGUAAAGGGCGUGUAGGCGGGAAUGCAAGUCAGAUGUGAAAACUAUGGGCUCAACCCAUAUCCUGCAUUUGAAACUGUAUUUCUUGAGUGCUGGAGAGGCAAUCGGAAUUCCGUGUGUAGCGGUGAAAUGCGUAGAUAUACGGAGGAACACCAGUGGCGAAGGCGGCCUGCUGGGCUUUUACUGACGCUGAGGCUCGAAAGUGUGGGGAGCAAACAGGAUUAGAUACCCCGGUA
rnacentral:rRNA from 1 species